rnacentral:rRNA from 1 species
UACAGAGGGGGCAAGCGUUAUUCGGAAUUAUUGGGCGUAAAGGGCGCGUAGGCGGCUUUGCAAGUGACGGGUGAAAGCCCUCGGCUUAACCGAGGAACUGCCUGUCAGACUGUAAGGCUUGAGACCGGGAGAGGUGAGUGGAAUUCCCAGUGUAGCGGUGAAAUGCGUAGAGAUGUGGAGGAACACCGAUGGCGAAAGCGGCGCGCUGGACCUCUUCUGACGCUGAGGCGCGAAAGCCAGGGGAGCAAACGGG